CGCGGGCGGCUUGGCAAGUCGGGUGUGAAAUCCCGGGGCUCAACCCCGUGACUGCAUUCGAUACUGUCAGGCUAGAGGUAGGUAGGGGAGAUCGGAAUUCCUGGUGUAGCGGUGAAAUGCGCAGAUAUCAGGAGGAACACCGGUGGCGAAGGCGGAUCUCUGGGCCUUACCUGACGCUCAGGCGCGAAAGCUAGGGGAGCGAACA
rnacentral:rRNA from 1 species